GUAUUUACACCUCUGUUUAAUCUAGCUCAUUUUUGUUCUGUUAUUAUUGUGCCUUUUUUAACCUCCAGUUUCAUUUAUUUGGAUAGUAAUUAAUUUCGGUUAAUUUUGAGAAUAUUUUUCUUUAUUAGGUUAUACCCUCAUGUGGUAUCUUUCCAGAAAAUAUUUAUUUAUUUGAUGCACACAAUUAUUUUUUUGUGACUUGGUCGAUGAUAGAGGUGGAUUUAGGAUUUGAACUUUAUGAAUUCGAGUUCGGCAUUCAACCAGACUACCACAUCCCAUUUGACUUACUGGGUUGAAAAUAUAUUAUUUGUACUUUUGUACUGAAUUUUGUAAUAAAAAGUAUGAGCUGGGUUUGGAAGAACUCAUAACAUUAACGCUACCCUAGCAGAUGAAUUGGAAAGAAACUUUGUACUCUUUCAUUUUUAGUUUGAUGACAAUUGAUCAAGAAAAGGUCUUAAGUGUUUGCGAUUUAUAUAAUUAUGUUGACUUUCUAUUAUUCGUGCAUACAUCUAUUUUGCAUUUGUUCUUUCAUAAGAUCUCUUUUUGAAGAGCAACCGAUUUCUGAGAUUGCAAAAUAUAAACUGUACUUUGCAUGAUGUUGCGCUUACUAUUUUGUUGUUGGUGGGUCCUGAGAUUGAAAAGUAUAAAAAUGUAUUUGCAGGAUGAUGUUCUUUGUGUUUUGUUAUUGGUGUUGAUCCAACGCUAUUUGUACUGAUGGCUUCAUCAAAAAUGUUAUUUGUACUGAUGGAGUUGGUUUGAUUCUGAACUGUUUGCUUUAAUUAUUGCUUCUUUUUCUGAUGUAGAAUUUUUAGUUGAACUUGAUGAGUUUUGUAUUAUGAUCAAAUUUGACAUUUUCUUUGUGUUAUUAUUGAAGUCGAUCAUCUUACCGAUUCUGGUUACACAGGUCGCAUAUACUGUGAUGUAUGACUCUUUCGACCUGGCCAAUAUUCUUCUCUAUCAUAUUGUUGUUACUUCUUCAAGUGUUUUGUAUAAAUUAUUAUAUUGGAAAUUCUUCUUUCAAAAUUUCCCCACACUUAUGUUCUUGAAGGUUGAGUUCAACUUCUAUGAUGCUGCCAGCUCAACAACUGCAUCUCUCAUCUCUUGUUCAUAUCCAAUGUGUGCUUCGACUGAGUGCUGGCUAUUAUGUGUCAGAUUUAUUAUAUUUUGAUACAGUCCCCGCGACCUCACUGAUUGCCAACUCUUCAACACAAAAAUCCAACUGAAAUUUUGUACCUAUUUCAAUUCUAUGAUGUUAAAAGCUAUAUUGUGGUAAUAAACAACAAAUGUAUGUUUCAGCAGAAUAUCCAAAAAGCUUGAAAACCACCAGACAAUAAUAAUGACAGAAACACGAAUUGUAAGUAUCAAUUCCAACAAAAAAUAAGUAAUAAAUUUUCUUCUCUCUUUUUUGGUUUCUAAUUGAGCAAAUACCACCGUGUUUUCCUUCUCAUUACUUUUAUCUUUUGCUUUGCAGAUUCAUGAAAUCCAUCCAAGAAGUCGGUCAGGGAGAAUCAGUGAAAUUGUCAAGAUAAAGUGAUAUGAAUAGGCAUCUCAUAUGAGCAGCUUAUGCAGUAGAACAACAUGAACUGGUAGAAGAGUUUUGUAGACAGAGUUGAGCAGUAUGAAAGUUUAAAAUACAGCUUAAGGAUGCUUUCCACACAAUUGAAGUGCAAGGACUGCUUCAGUAAAAAAAAAGAAAAAAAGAAACAACAUCCAUAAAAUGGAUGAUCAAGUGAAAUAUUACUUUGAUACAUAUAUUCUUUAUAAUUAACUCAAUUUAUUUGUGACUACCGCAACAAAUAAAGACAACUUUAGAAUUGUUGGGCCCAUGCUCAGCAUGGCCAUGAUUGUCUAGUACUUACUAAUAAGCGGUUAAGUUCUAUGGCACCUUGAAGGUGCAAAUGUUAUUUGUACAAUCAGAUCACUUAAAGGCAAUUACAAUUUACUCUAUUUAAUAGAAUUGAUUAGUAGCUUAAAAUAAAU
rnacentral:lncRNA from 1 species